AUGCCGCUUGAAUAUUUCGUGCAUGGAAUAAUAGAAUAUGAUCUCGGUUCUAUUUUGUUGGUUUUCAGAACUCCGAGGUAAUGAUUAAUAGGGAUAACUGGGGGCAUUCGUAUUGCGACGUUAGAGGUGAAAUUCUUGGAUCGUCGCAAGACGAACAUCAGCGAAAGCAUUUGCCAAAGGUGUUUCAUCAAUCAAGAACGAAAGUUAGAGGUUCGAAGGCGAUUAGAUACCGCCCUAGUUCUAACCGUAAAUAUGUCGUCUAGCGAUCCGCCGACGUUAAUACAAUGGCUCGGCGGGCAGCUUCCGGGAAACCUAAAGAUUUUGGACUCCGGGGGGAGUAUGGUUGCAAAGCUGAAACUUAAAGGAAUUGACGGAAGGGCACCACCAGGAGUGGAGCCUGCGGCUUAAUUUGACUCAAACACGGGAAAUCUCACCAGGCCCGGACACCGGAAGGAUUGACUAGAUUAACAGCUCUUUCUUGAUUCGGUGGGUGGUGGUGCAUGGCCGUUCUUAGUUGGUGGAGCGAUUUGUCUGGUUAAUUCCGGUAACGAACGAGACUCUAGCCUGCUAAAUAGGCGUCGUCAUUUAGGUGUGCGCGAUUUCGGUCGCGCAACUCACUGGCGACGUAUUAAAAUUCUUCUUAGAGGGACCGGCGUCUUCGAGCCGCACGAGAUUGAGCAAUAACAGGUCUGUGAUGCCCUUAGAUGUCCUGGGCCGCACGCGCGCUACACUGAAGGAAUCAGCAUGUUCUCCCUGGCCUAGAGGCCCGGGCAACCCGUUGAAACUCCUUCGUGCUGGGGAUUGGGGUUUGCAAUUAUCCCCCAUAAACGAGGAAUUCCUAGUAAGCGCGAGUCAUAAGCUCGCGUUGAUAACGUCCCUGCCCUUUGUACACACCGCCCGUCGCUACUACCGAUUGAAUGAUUUAGUGAGGUCUUCGGACCGACACGCGGUGGCUUCACGGCCGUCGGCGUUGCUGGGAAGUUGACCAAACUUGAUCAUUUAGAGGAAGUAAAAGUCGUAACAAGGUUUCCGUAA
rnacentral:rRNA from 1 species